rnacentral:rRNA from 1 species
GACGGAGGAUGCAAGUGUUAUCCGGAAUCACUGGGCGUAAAGCGUCUGUAGGUGGUUUAAUAAGUCAACUGUUAAAUCCUGAGGCUCAACCUCAAAAUCGCAGUCGAAACUAUUAGGCUAGAGUAUAGUAGGUGUAAAGGGAAUUUCCAGUGGAGCGGUGAAAUGCGUAGAGAUUGGAAAGAACACCGAUGGCGAAGGCACUUUACUGGGCUAUUACUAACACUCAGAGACGAAAGCUAGGGCAGCAAAUGGG